UUAAAAAUAGUUUAGGUGAAAAAAAAUAUUAGUUUGUGGAACUAAAGAGGAAACUAAAUUCUUUUUAAA
rnacentral:tRNA from 1 species